UACGUAGGGGGCUAGCGCUGUCCGGAUUUAUUGGGCGUAAAGCGCGUGUAGGCGGCCAGGUAGGUCUGCUGUGAAACUCGAGGCUCAACCUCGAGAUGUCGGCGGAAACCAUCUGGCUAGAGUCCGGAAGAGGAGAGUGGAAUUCCCGGUGUAGCGGUGAAAUGCGCAGAUAUCGGGAAGAACACCCGUGGCGAAGGCGGCUCUCUGGGACGGUACUGACGCUGAGACGCGAAAGCGUGGGGAGCGAACAGG
rnacentral:rRNA from 1 species